AUGGUCAUUUCAUUAACUUGGUGCAUGCUUGUAUUUCUUCUCACAUGUCACCUUAAUGGUCAGCCCUCGCGUAAAUUUAGAAGCUUCAAAGGUAUCCGUCAGGGCUGUCCCAUGUCACCUUAUUUGUUUGUCAUCGCUAUCAAUGAAUUGUCUCUUGCUCUUAAUGAGGCUCUGGCUGCUCACCAUUUGCAGGGAAUUUCUCUUGGACCAAACUGCCCUCCUAUUCACUCUUUGUUGUUUGCAGAUGAUCUGUUGGUUUGUGGACAGGCAAGUCUUCAAGAGGCUCAUUCUAUGGCUCAAAUCAUUAACCAUUUUUGUGCCAUCUUAGGACAAACUCCAAACUGGGCUAAAUCAGCAAUUCUUUUCAGCUCUCACGUUCCUCAAGCUAUAAUUCAUGCUAUUAAGCAGAUUUUCCCGGUUUCUAAAUUGGAUAGCAGUUUUGUUCAUCUUGGUCAUCCUCUUGUGCUUCCAGCUAAGAAUAGAGCUUCGGCUUACAACUUUUUCAUUGAAAAAUUUCUGAAUAAGCUACCUACUUAUAAAGCUAACAUGCUUUCCCAUGCUGCCAGAUUAGAAUUGAUUCGUUCGGUUUUCUUGGCUAUACCUGUUUAUUAUAUGGAUAACAUCUUGUUUACCAAGAAGUUCAUAGCUAAACUUACUGCAAUCAUUAGGAAUUUCUGGUGGACAGGUGUUCGAGAAAGUGAUUCCAAAAAGAGCCUUUGCCUCCGAGCUUGGAAGGAUAUUUGUAACUCUAAGGAAGAGGGAGGAUUAGGAAUAAGGAACUUGAAGGCUAUCAAUGAAGGUCUCCUUCUCACAGCUGCUUGGAGAUUAGCUAAGUCUCCUUCUUCUCACUUGCAUCUUGUUCUUAAGGCUAAAUACUUUCAUAAUGCCUCCAUAUGGACAGCCUCUGCUAAUUCUGCUAAGUCGGCCUUUUGGGCUUCUAUUCUUAAAAUUCUAUCGAAACUCAAAGCCCAUUCUUUUUAUCAAUUAUCUCAAGGCAGUAUCUCAAUUUGGAGCACUCCUUGGUGCUCUCUUUGGAGAUCCAUGAUUGUCUUAUUCAUCAACGACAUGGUUUUCAAUAUCCAUCUUUAG
rnacentral:rRNA from 1 species